GGGGUUGUGGCUCAGAGGUAGAGCACUCACUUAUCAUGUGGGAAGCACUGGGUUUGAUCCUCAGCACCA
rnacentral:tRNA from 1 species